rnacentral:rRNA from 1 species
UACGUAGGGUGCAAGCGUUGUCUGGAAUUAUUGGGCGUAAAGAGCUCGUAGGCGGUUUGUCGCGUCUGCUGUGAAAACUCGGGGCUUAACCCCGGGCCUGCAGUGGGUACGGGCAGACUAGAGUGCGGUAGGGGAGACUGGAAUUCCUGGUGUAGCGGUGAAAUGCGCAGAUAUCAGGAGGAACACCGGUGGCGAAGGCGGGUCUCUGGGCCGUAACUGACGCUGAGCUGCGAAAGCUAGGGGAGCAAACAGG